rnacentral:rRNA from 1 species
GUCUAUGAUCAUACCACGUUGACAACACCUGGUCUUGUCUGAUCCCUGAAGUUAAGCAACGUCGGGGCGAGUCAGUACUUGGGAGGUAGACAUAAAUAACUUUGAAACACUUUGUCAUAGACA